rnacentral:lncRNA from 1 species
AAAAAAAAACAAUGAGUGAACAUAUCAGCUUGCCCUAGGGUAUAUGAAUUUCUAAGUUUAAGUCUCGGUAACAUGCUUGAAACAGUUAUUAAAAGUACACCUUAUCUUCAUCUGUAACAGUAGUUGGUUCCAAUUAAUAAACAAAUAAAUACAUGGUGUUAAUUUCAAUAGUGUUUUUUAAGAAGUACACACAUAUGUUAAAUAUUUAUUUCUAAUCUUUUGUAGGUAUGUGAAAUUCUGAAGUCGACAUAUAUAAGUUUGAAAGCAACCGUGAGCAUAAUAUCUUUUCCAUUCCUAAAGUGCAUCAGUACUUACUAUCCUUGCCAAAAAAACCGGUACCUUCGUCAAGCGAUGCAUGGCUGAAUGAUAGAUAAUGGUUCUUUACCUUCUCAGAGCGCUUUGAUCUUGUGCGAUGCUGGAUUGCUUCAGAAAAUUGUAAAUGCCAGAGACAACAAACUCGUUGAAGAAUGAACUGAAAAAUAAUAAUUAUGUAGAAUAGAUACCUACUGCAGCCCGCCUGGUCCUGAAAGCAGACUGGCCAAAAGAAAUUAUCAAAGGCCCGAUAUCUCACACUGUAACAACAUGGAAGAUGACCAUAAGGUCACUGUAGUGUAGUUCUUCAAAAGCUAUCCCCAGCCUUGUGUUUUUGGAUCCUUAGAACUGCAUGUCAUGCACUAAACUUUCUUCAUUUGGCCUCCUGAGUCAACUCGGUUGGUCCCUACAAAUCUCAAAUUCAGACAUCAUUGGUUCAGAAUUCAUUGGGACCACUGUAUUUUAACCAGCUACUUAGGUUCCAAAGCUUAUUGAAAAAAUCCUGAGAACAUUUUCUAAGAGAAAUUUCAACAAACAGUAAGAGGGUAAAGGGCUAGUGCACUAUGUUUGUGAGCGUAUGCUGGUGGGCGGUCGACGAACAUGUACCUAGGCACAUGAAUAGAGUUGGAGUGAGAUAUCUGAAGCACCUGGGUGCCAUAGGAUCUGUGGUGGCACGAGCAUGAAAGUAUGACCGCAGUUCAUCCAGAGAUGCUACUUAGUGCCGGAGGAGCUCGACGAUGUGAAUUGUGCUUUCUCCAAGACAUGGGUGGCAGUGAGGCGAUAUGCGAGGCGAGCACUGAACCCCAAGGCAAAGGUGCGCGCGGGGAGAGAGGCGGAUGGAGGGAGCCAGGGAGGACCGUACCCGCAGACCACAGUCGCUUUGGUCGAGCUUAGUCUG